AACGAACGCUGGCGGCAUGCCUAAUACAUGCAAGUCGAACGAGACCUCCGGGUCUAGUGGCGCACGGGUGCGUAACGCGUGGGAAUCUGCCCUUGGGUUCGGAAUAACGUCGGGAAACUGACGCUAAUACCGGAUGAUGACGUAAGUCCAAAGAUUUAUCGCCCAGGGAUGAGCCCGCGUAGGAUUAGCUAGUUGGUGGGGCAAAGGCCUACCAAGGCGACGAUCCUUAGCUGGUCUGAGAGGAUGAUCAGCCACACUGGGACUGAGACACGGCCCAGACUCCUACGGGAGGCAGCAGUAGGGAAUAUUGGACAAUGGGGGCAACCCUGAUCCAGCAAUGCCGCGUGAGUGAUGAAGGCCUUAGGGUUGUAAAGCUCUUUUACCCGGGAUGAUAAUGACAGUACCGGGAGAAUAAGCCCCGGCUAACUCCGUGCCAGCAGCCGCCGCCGUAA
rnacentral:rRNA from 1 species